rnacentral:lncRNA from 1 species
GGAUCAACACAGAGUGCAGCUCUGCUCAGGGACAGACCAGAGAUUCUCUUACCAGUCCUGUUGCAUCCAAGCGUGUGCUCCAAAGGCUCUUUGACUAUGACAAGCACAGUUUGAGUAGCAUGAUAAAUUCUACCUACCAAACACCUCUCUCUUUUCAUGCAUGCCUGAUACUGCACCUAGAUCUAUCUUUCAGCUUUUGGAACUGUUACUAACAGUGACAACCUGCUUUUAAUGCCAAUUUCCUUCCAGAGACAAUGCUUUGAUGGUAGGACUGCUAAAGGCUUGGCACUCUCUUCCCUGGUGGAAGCAGAAGGACAUUGCCCUGCUCCAAGGGUUCAGUUCUCUGCCUGCAGAAAUGAAAUGCAGCCACUCUUUCUACGGGUCAAAGGCUUUUCCCUGAUGCCAUUUGUCACUCUGGUUUGGAGGGGUCUUGCCAUCAGAGACAGUGCAGGGACUGUCUGGCCUUGGUUCUGCUGUGAUCGUCCUUGUAGGAAAACACAGACACCAACUGCUCUUUGUAGUUCAGCUUGUGACCACUACUCAUUAAAUCUGUCAUUUCCUCUUCUGCCUUUCAGCAGUGUUUCCUCCAUCAGGAACCUAAUGACCCUCUGCAAGCUCUCAUCCACCUACAAUUACUGGACCUGUGUAAGCUUUGCCAAGUGGCUUAAAUACUGUUUAGUCUCUGGUGUCAGCUGUUGCUCAUAGCUGGCACACAGGUUUGCAACACACUCUCACCUGGCUUUUAUUAUAUCCUCAAAAUACCAAAAAAAACCCCAAAAAAAAACAACCCCAAAAAAAUACCACCCAGGCAAAGGAUCAGACAUUCCCCACUGCAGCUGAAGUAGCUUAAUAUCAGUGGAGUGUACUCACAUCCUUGACUGAUGGAAUUCAGUGGAGCUAACCAAGGAUUUACUUCAACCCUCAGCUGACAAAAAAAAAAAAAAAAAAAAAAAAAAAAAAAAUCUCUGUUCAAAAAGCUUUUAAAGUGGGAAAAAAAAAAAAAAAAAAGAAAAAGCAGCUGUGGUUUUUGUGGUCACAACGGGAACACAGGAUGUCUGUGUUGUUUUCUGCUCCAUGCUUCUCCCUGUGUUCUUGGAAUGGAUCAUUUCAACCCUGUGCCUACAGAAUAAUUACUUCUGCUGGAAAAUGGAUGUAACAUCACUUCCCUAUUGCACGGGGCAGUUUGAGUGGUGACUGCCUUCGGAUCAGACACCCAGCCCUAAUGGUGCUAUUAAAAGCACAGAAAAUUCUAAGAAAAAAAAUAUAUAUAUAGGGUUACAGUAAAAUCAUCUUAGAUAUUUAAAAACAUCCAAAUGUUCCUGUCCACUGGGUUGAAAAUCAACUGUCACCAGGCAAUUUCAAACAUUCAGGCUGUCACACAAGGACAAGGACUGCAGCUCUGUGUCUGCCCAGCUCAGUGGGAUGUCUACAGCAGAUAUGAGCACUGACAGGGGCAGAGGAAGGGGUUACAGUCCUGCCAUGGGUGCUGAGGAUCUGCUGUCCUACACACACCUUUCUUCACACCCCCACUGGACAGAGGGUUCAUGUUGAGUUUUGUUUAAAGGGGGCAGUAGUUCAGUAGACAAUAAUUCUGGGGAUCACAUAAACACUCGUGCAGGGUCAUCAUUAUUAGAAGGAAAUGCUAUUUUAAGGUGUCACAUCUAUUGGAAUUUUCUCUUGGAGACAAAGCCCAAGGGGAACAGGGUCCUGCAGCCAUGUCCUGCAGAAAGUGAGGCUCCUUGCUGGAGAUGGGAAGAGCCAACAUUGACCAGGGAUGUGAACCACUGGCCUGCAGGCUCAGUAUGGAGAGCUUAGUGCUGCUCCUGCAGGUGACACUGGAAUUAUGGUUUAGUUGAGGAGAAGAAUGGCAAAGGAAUGGAAACAAAUUUAAAAAAAAAAUACUUGAAAAGAAAGCCCUCACUUUCUCCAUUCCUCCCCAGUUCAUAUUUACUGUAGUCCCCACCAAACUACACCUAAAAUAGCUUUUGUCAGUUGCUAUUUAGCCAUUUAGGUCGGAUCUACCAGCUGCAUGAGCUUGCCUCUAUUGUACUACUGCAGUUGGACUGUUGCCAUCCUCCUCCCAUGGGUUUUCUACAGAUCUAUAUUUCAAAGUUAUGGCUCUUGCAAAACUCUGCUCUGUGAGUUCAGACAAGCUAAAAAAAAAAUUAGUCAUGUUUCCUCUAGUCGUGCUGCUUUACUAGGCUUCCUAUUUGCAAUCAAAUUAUUUUUAAUUUUGACCACGUUCCUAUUGUUUGCCAGGAAGAUAAUCAUCUUAUCUCGCCACCGGGAUAUUUCUCUCCUUUCUCAUGUAGUUUCAGAUGGAUUAAAUAAAUACCCCUUACACAAAGCACACCAAGCUGGGCAAAAGGGCAUUUCACCAUUGCUGGCUGAUCUGAAAUUUAGGAAAUGUCUCUUUUUUGAGGGAUUAAAAACCAAAAGUUUGGAAGGACUCAGACAUGCCAUAACAGCAGCUGUGCUAAAUCUACACUCUCAGUUAUUUUUAUCCAUCUCAGAGUGGCUUUUUGGAAAUUUUUGGGUGAAGUUAAAAGUUAGUGAGUGACACUGGCUUGUUUUACCAGUGCCAACAAGGGUCACAGGUACAGUCAGCUUGAGUUUUUGGUCUGGAAGAAGCCAAAAAACUCUGUGUGAUCCUCUGGGACCUUUCUGUUCCUUCUUCCCAGAUGAAACUGUAUUUUGUCCAUGCAAGGAACAAGGAAUCCCCCAUCUGUCCAUCCAAGGAGAAGGAUUUUUCCAGGAAUUCCAGGAAGGAUUUCUCAGUGGGUGCUUUUCUCCCCCUCCACCUGCCUGGAGAUCCCAUCCAAGGCACUGAAAUGGGCUCAGCUCACUGCCGUUUGAGCUCUGACCUGGAGUCCUUUACAAAGGAAGGAUUUCUGCCCAGCAAAGGCCAGCAAGCAAGCUGCCAGCUCACAGCAAACCAAGUGGGGAUGACCAGGCACCCUCAGACCCUCCCAGUGCUCCCAGUAUCCCCUCCGUGGAGGAACUGGUUUGCCAACACGUGAGCGACGGGCGCGCGAUGGAAAAGUUGCGCGCACGAGCGGCGCGGCUGGAACCCAAACUGUUCUGCUUUGUGUUUUGCAACCUUCACCCACAUCCACUUUCCUCCUGCUGGAUGCUGAGUGCUUUACCUCCAACUUCCUAAUUAUCGGAGCGCCACCGCCGCCACAGAUGAGGAAAUGGGGACAUAUGGCUUUUGUGAUAAGAGAUUUAUGUGAGCUGUCUGUGCAGAAGCCCUGCAACUUUCUAUACAAGUCCAUUUGUAAAACAAAACAUGUGUAAACAGCCACGUUUGGAUUGUUUUGGUGAUUUCUUCCCCCUCAUGACAGAUGUAAAGGAAAAAAUUGAGGUUUCCACUUGGUGCGUGCAGAUAAUUCUGUGGCGAAUGGGAGAGAUCCCACUUGCAGUAAAUCACCCAAUCCUUCCUUUGAUUUCUGUCACCUAAAAUCCAGCUCCAUGUGGGUAAAUGGGAAGAAAUACAAAGAAACUGGGGCUCAUACAUGAUCCCCUUUCAGCUGCAGGAGCACAAAUAUUCCUGAAAAGCUCCUGGCAAGAGUACAGUAAAUAGUGCAAAAUACCAAUAGAAAAGGCAGCCAAAAUCCAGUGAUUAUAAUGGGUGGCUUUGACUACACCCUGUAGAUUGGUUAUCUUUCAAAUCAAGAGACAGAUUAGAGAAAUAGAGUCAUAUUCUCAAGGAACAAAAUCCUGUUAUCAGUGGGGACAAAGAGCAGGACAGUCUGGAGACCCAAACCUUUAUCCAUGUCUGGGCCAUGCUCUUUCACUCCUGCUCUUGUCCCUUACACUCCAGAAAAGCCACUUGCAGGAUGGACAGUCUUGGUUCUUUUCAGGGAAAGUCUCAAGGUUCUCUCUGAAGUUUCUGGGAAAGUGAGAUGGAAACACAGGAUGUCCAUUGCAAUUUUUUUGCUUUCCUGCAGUCUCAGCUGCAAAUGCCACAAGGAUAAUAUUUCUUUCAACAAUAUUCAGGUGCCAGAUGAACCCAUAAAUAUUCUGGAAUAGUUCUGACCUUACCUGAGAAAGUUUAAACCAAGCCUGUUUGCAGACUAGCAGGGUAAUAAUUCUCCAGGGCUUCCAGAUUCACACUUCUCAGCAGUGUGACAGAGGCACCUUGCAAACACAGUUUGGUUUGGUUUGGUUGACAUAAGUUCCAAGCAUGGCCCACAUGUGAAAAAGCUUCACAGAAAAAUGCCCUCCAACGACAUUUCCUUAACAACCCACCCAGAAAUCAGAGCCUCUUCACUUUCACUCUGUCAGUUUUGGAGAUGUUUUUCCCCUUGUUUGGGCAGAGAAGGUGAGUCAUGGAACAGAGGCAGUGUGGAAAUUUACAUUCAGCUAUGAAAGUGCAUGUUAUGAUUACCAUGAAAGAAAAAAAAUCAUCCACACAACUCAAUCUCUGUGUAAGUCAUACCCAGCUUUGAAGAAAUGUGAGUUUAAACCUGUUCUUUUUGGUUGAUUGACACUGCUGGCUGCUGCAGUGUCACUUGGAGCCUUCAGCCUUUGCUCUGUCAGAUCUGAAAUCCCUCUUCUGGCAGCUGUUUCCAGCCAGGUGGAUGGACACAAAUGCUGGUCAGAGAGGGCUGGGGGUCAUCGAUUUCCUCUGACCCUCCCAUGGAACAACUUCCCAACCCCUCAAGAUGGGACAUUGCAAUAUUCCCAAGUGUUUGAUGGGUGGCAGUGCAUGGAGAGUGCUCCCUGCUCUUGGGUUUUCAUGCCCUGAACCCUCUCCUCCAGGGUGGGCACUGAGCAUUUUGUGUUCAAGUGCAGGACUCACCCUUUCCUUUUAAAAUACGGUGCCUGCUGCUGCCACCUACCUUUUGUGCUGGAGUGGAUCCUAAAAAUAUUCCAUAUAUUGAGUCUGGGAUUUGAGAAUUUCCUCCUCAUCCCAAAAGCUAAAGCCAAGCUACAAACCACGAGGUUAAUUUGUUGUGUGGACAGGAGGUUUUAUCUGAAAAACAUUUCCUGCCUGGGAAGCGGAAAAGUUUCAAAACUCAUCGAGAGAUCACUUUUUGCUCUCGCCUGGUUAUGAGGGCUUUCAUACAGCAGAUUUUGGCAUCUGCCCUGCAGAGCAGAUGGUCAUAUCAUGCAGGGAGCAUUUCAUGCAACUGGGGGUGCAGAGGAAGGUGGCUGGGAAGUGUGUGACCCCACAGCAACUGAGAUCUGAACCCAACUCUCAUCACCCUUCCCAACCACUCCACGACAUUGUGACAGUAAAACAGAAGCAGAGGUAGAGAUGAAAUGCAGUCCUCAAAUAUUUGUCCCCAGAAAACCUCUGCAUACCUGUGGGCAUUUCUGAGGAGGAGCACAAAGCCCUUAGGAAUGCUGCCAUGUGUGGUUUGUGCCACGUUUGUCUAUCAGACAGCCUCCAGUUCGCUCAGAACACGUGGGGAAUAUUUAAGUAAAAUAAAUGUGGCUUUUCUAUCAGUCCUAACAGUAAGAGGGACAUAGAAGAGCUCUAAGUCUCCUUUUCCACCUGUUUUUCUGCAGCAAACAGCAGACUUGCAAUUCAUUUUUGGUCAGGAGGAGCUGCAGCUGAUGCAGAUCUGCCAAGCCCAGGCACUGCCUUGCAGAGGUUUUGGCAUCACAGGUUUGGAUUUAUGUGCUCACAUCUCUUCAGACCCAUCCCCAGCUCCAGCCUUCAGCUGAGGAGCAGCUCACAAUGUCUGAGUGCUCACUCCUCCCCAGAAAGUGGCAGUCAGCAUCUGUAGAACAGCUGGAACUCUGCACAGAGCCACACACCUCUGCCCAUCCUUCCUCCAGCCUUUGGAAAUGUUCCCAAGAGCGACUCGAGGCGGCAGAAUCCAGGGGCAGGUCCUCAGCACACCCAUCAGCAGAGAGCUGUUGACAUCAGUGGAAACAGCCUUGACACACAUCAGGAUCCUUAUAUUGUUCAGGGACACCCUAGAAUUGAAAUCCCCCUAGCAGGAUUCCUGGGCCACCAGACACGUUCAGGGAAGAAGAGAUGCUUGGAAGAAUUUUGGCUUUCAGCAGUAAUUGGUGUGUGCAGAAUCAAUUCCCAUUAAAACCAGGUGCUU